rnacentral:rRNA from 1 species
GACGGAGGGUGCGAGCGUUGUUCGGAUUGACUGGGCGUAAAGGGCGUGUAGGCGGUUGGUCAAGUCUGAUGUGAAAGCCCGGAGCUCAGCUCCGGAAGUGCAUCGGAAACUAGCUGGCUGGAGCGCGAUAGAGGAGGGUGGAAUUCCUGGUGUAGCGGUGAAAUGCGUAGAUAUCGGGAAGAACACCCGUGGCGAAGGCGGUUCUCUGGGACGGUACUGACGCUGAGACGCGAAAGCGUGGGGAGCGAACAGG